ACCUGGCUGGCUCAGCUGGUAGAGCACGGGACUCCUGAUCUCAAGGUCAUGAGUUCAAGCCCCACGUUGGGCA
rfam:Canis lupus familiaris chromosome 2, whole genome shotgun sequence.